UCUUAAAGACCAACUAAGUUUGUUCUGGGUGUAAGCUUUCAUGUGUACAUGAAAGCUUAUACCCAGAGCAAACUUAAUUGGUCUCUUAAGG